UGCACUUGUUCUGGUCUGCCC
rnacentral:piRNA from 1 species